rnacentral:misc_RNA from 1 species
AAGAAAUUGAAAAGAAAAGCCCUCUUCUCUCGUCUGUUAAUAUAUCAUUUUCCGUCCCCUAAUUGAAAUUUCAAAACUGAAGGUAAAGUGAGAGUUCUCUCUCUCUCUCUCCGUGUUUGGGAGCUGAGAAAGUUGAACUCCCAAGAAAUUUCAAUUUCCCUCAACUAAUGAAAAUUUUCUGUUUGUUUUCGUAUCGUUGAGUUUGAAAUUACAUUGGCAGUAAUGUCCCUCCUCAGUAGAUUCUUCUACCGAAGGCCUCCCGAUGGAUUGCUUGAAUUUGUCGACAGAGUAUAUGUUUUUGAUUCUUGCUUUUCAACUGAAGUUUUGCCUGAGGGAAUGUAUCAAAUAUAUCUACAUGAAAUUGUUGCUGAAUUGCAUGAGGAAUUUCCUGAUUCAUCUUUUCUCGCUUUUAAUUUUCGUGAGGGUGAAAAAAGGAGCCAGUUUGCUGAAAUUUUAUGCCAAUAUGAUGUCACUGUCAUGGAUUAUCCACGACAGUAUGAGGGUUGCCCUCUUCUUCCUUUGUCUUUGAUUCAGCAUUUUCUUCGUGUUUGUGAGACUUGGCUUUCCAUUGGGAAUCAUCAGAAUAUUAUCCUUUUCCAUUGUGAGAGGGGGGGUUGGCCUCUUUUGGCCUUCCUUUUAGCUAGUUUCUUGAUUUUUAACAAGUUGCAUACUGGUGAACGAAGAACUCUUGAGAUUGUGCAUCGAGAGGCUCCUAAAGGCUUCUUGCAGCUUUUGUCACCUCUCAAUCCUUUCCCAUCUCAGCUUCGUUACCUGCAGUAUGUAGCCAGAAGAAAUAUAACACCUGAGUGGCCUCCUCCAGAACGUGCACUUUCUUUGGAUUGUGUUAUUAUUCGUGCCAUUCCAAGCUUCGACUCUGAAAAUGGGUGCAGGCCAAUCAUUCGUAUUUUUGGUAGGAAUUUCCACACAAAGCGUGGGCUUUCGACCCAUAUGCUCUUCUCAAUGUCCAAGAAGAAGAAGGCCACCCUUCGGCAUUAUCGCCAGGCAGAAUGUGAUGUGAUUAAGAUUGACAUUCAGUGUAUGGUGCAAGGAGAUGUUGUAUUGGAGUGUGUGCAUCAGGACUUGGAUCCAGAAAGGGAGGUUAUGAUGUUUCGUGUAAUGUUUAAUACUGCGUUUAUUCGAUCUAAUAUAUUAAUUCUCAAUUCUGAGAACUUGGACAUUCUUUGGGAUUCAAAGGAACGAUAUCCCAAAGGCUUUCGGGCAGAGGUUUUGUUUGGGGAGGCAGAGAACAUAUCGCCACCGAAGGCUCCAACUACAAUUUUAAAUGGUGAGG